GCCAGUGUGGUGUAGUGGUUUGAACACUGCACUAUGACUCUGGAGACAAGGGUUCAAAUCCCUACUUGGCCA
rnacentral:tRNA from 1 species